UGCAGCCUACUCACACACAAGUCAGGGAUUUAAUUCUGGGUCAACUCUAAGAAGGAAAAGCCAGGUUGACAAAAGUGGCAGGGGAACUACGUCAGUCAGUCAGUCAUAUUUAUUUAGCACUUACUGUGUGCAGAGCAUUUUACUAAGCGCUUGGGAGAGUUCAAUAGAACAAUAAACUGGCACAUUACCUGCCCACAGCGAGCUACCUGGGAAAACACAGGAGUGUCUAGAAUCAACUAGGAUGGAGGGACACACUGUGGAAGAGUUGGGAUGGAGCAACUGGGAG
rnacentral:lncRNA from 1 species